CGACUCUCGCCGUGCCUUCGAGGACGCGGUCAAGCUCCUGCGCCAGACGCUGUGCCGCUUCCGAAGUCUGGCCUUUCGCCAGCUCCAACAGCCUGCCUCCGGUUGCGGCAGUGCGCACGGUCAACCCUUCACUUAUUCCCAGGUCAGCCAAAUUUAGCGUUUCCGCAGCCCGCUUGAGUAAGUGGCUGUAGGUGACCCCCUGUUCCUCUGCUUCUGGCUCCAGUGUCAUAAUCACUGCGGGCCUACGGGGGGCCACCAACCUGGGAGGACGGGAUUUCGCCUUCUUCUUUCUGUUCUUUCGCUGCUGCGGUGACUUCGCAGCAGCGGCACCCGACGCAGGAGAUUUGUCCUUGCCCUUCUUCUUCUUUUUAACAACGGCGACCCAUUCGUCGUCA
rnacentral:misc_RNA from 1 species